rnacentral:rRNA from 1 species
CCUACGGGAGGCAGCAGUGAGGAAUUUUGGUCAAUGGGCGCGAGCCUGACCCAGCCAAGUCGCGUGAGGGCAGCCGGUCCUAUGGAUUGUCAACCUCUUUUGUCGGGGAGCAAAAGACUCCACGCGUUGCGUUCCGAGAGUCCCCUAAGCACACGCAUCGGCUAACUCCGUGCCCGCCGCCGCGGUAAUACGGAGGAUGCGAGCGUUAUCCGGAUUUAGUGGGGUUAAAGGGUGCGCAGGCGGAAGAUCAAGUCAGCGGUAAAAUUGAGAUGCUCAACCUCUUCGAGCCGUUGAAACUGGUUUGCGUGAGUGAGUGAGAAGUAUGCGGAAUGCGUGGUGUAGCGGUGAAAUGCAUAGAUAGCACGCAGAACUGCGAUUGCGAAGGCAGCAUACCGGCGCUCAACUGACGCUCAUGCACGAAAGUGUGGGUAUCGAACAGGAUUAGAUACCCCUGUAGUC